GUUUCCCACAGAUCCCAAAGAGAGCCACGCUAUCCCUGAAUCUGAAGCACAGGAAGGGCCAAAGAUAGAAGCAGGAGUGCUGUGCAAGUCUAAUGCAGGUUACAGAGCUGGCAUGUGUUAAAGAUGAAGAGGUCCCUCAACAGGAAUGUGUUCCUAUUAAAGAGGAAUUCAUAGAGCAGGAAUGUGUCCCCAUCGCAGAGGAACUUCCUCAUGAAAAUCAUGUCUGUACACUUGAGGAGAACAACAAGCUGGGAUCCAACCUGUGUGAUGACUCUCCAUCUGAAUGUGAACUGGGAUUUAGAGGUAAUCCUACAAAACAAGCAGCAUUGAGCUGCCUGUUCAUCCUGGAGAACCUGGUACUGAACACCAGCAGGGUGCUUGAGAUUCAUAUUUUAACCAAGGGGAGCUGCCCAACCACUAUGUCAACAAGGACAUCACUGUGCUUGCUUCUGAGGCACCUGCUAGAUGUGCAGCCGCUGCCACGCCUCUUUAGAAUGCUGUGAGAUCAGCGGUGUCCAAUCACGCUCCUGGAGGCCAUUCCACUCCACAUUGAACAGGUUCAGUUAUAUAAAGUGCUACUCCUGUGCCUGGAUGGACACCCCUGUGUUAGAUAUUUGCCUUUCCUCAUUCCUGCUUCUAAAGUAGAUGAAGGAGAACACGACUCCACUCUAUCACCCCAGUGCAAAAACGCUUCUAGAGGCAAACCACAGUGCAAGAAACACAGAGAAACAACACCCCAAGAAGAAAAUGUGAAGACAUUGAGAACUCACUCAGUUACAAUUCCUUCUUUACAAGACAGACACCCACUUACUGUGGAGAGUACAGAGACGGCACAUUCUGUGUGUUUUAACAAUUCUGAAUCCCAGGGCAACUUGAAGACCUUACCUCAUUCUAUUAAAGGUGGGAAGAGUUCCUGUCAAUUAGAUGUUCCUGAAACUCACAAGGGAAAUCCCUCAGGAGGGACUCCGUGUUCCUGGGCUGAUUGUGGGAAGAGUUUCAAUCAUAUAUCACUGCUUAAAAGACACCAGCGCGUUCACACAGGAGAGAAACGUUAUCACUGUGCUGUUUGUGGGAAGAGAUUCAGUCCGUUCGGAAACCACACAAGACACCAUAUCAUUCACACAUAUGUGUAAUCCUAUCCCUGCACUUAGUGUGAAGAAGUUAAGUCAGUUGCAGGCUCUUACAGGACUUGAGAACAUUCUCAGAAAUGCAGACACUUGGGGACACCUAAACAACAGGAGUGCAUUCGACUAAAUACAGAAAUAUUAACUGAAAACAAAAGAAUAAACUUGCUUGAUAAAUAGGGUCACCCCUAAUCACAAUCUGUUCAGAUCAAAAACUCACCAAAAUCUGUGUUCAUCAUGUUGUUGAGCAUUCUGAUUGUGUUACAUCACAUUAGUAUUAUAUUAAAUAGAUUGUUAUUAUGA